rnacentral:tRNA from 1 species
UCCCCGGUAGCUCAGCGGUAGAGCAAUCGACUGUUAAUCGAUCGGCCGCCUGUUCGAAUCAGGCCCGGGGAG